rnacentral:rRNA from 1 species
GAUGAACGCUGGCGGCGUGCCUAAUACAUGCAAGUCGAGCGAACGGACGAGAAGCUUGCUUCUCUGAUGUUAGCGGCGGACGGGUGAGUAACACGUGGAUAACCUACCUAUAAGACUGGGAUAACUUCGGGAAACCGGAGCUAAUACCGGAUAAUAUUUUGAACCGCAUGGUUCAAAAGUGAAAGACGGUCUUGCUGUCACUUAUAGAUGGAUCCGCGCUGCAUUAGCUAGUUGGUAAGGUAACGGCUUACCAAGGCAACGAUGCAUAGCCGACCAGAGAGGGUGAUCGGCCACACUGGAACUGAGACACGGUCCAGACUCCUACGGGAGGCAGCAGUAGGGAAUCUUCCGCAAUGGGCGAAAGCCUGACGGAGCAACGCCGCGUGAGUGAUGAAGGUCUUCGGAUCGUAAAACUCUGUUAUUAGGGAAGAACAUAUGUGUAAGUAACUGUGCACAUCUUGACGGUACCUAAUCAGAAAGCCACGGCUAACUACGUG